UACAGAGGUGGCAAGCGUUUGUUCGGAAUUACUGGGCGUAAAGGGCGCGUAGGCGGCCUUCUAAGUCAGACGUGAAAUCCCCCGGCUUAACCUGGGAACUGCGUCUGAUACUGGAGGGCUUGAGUGCGGGAGAGGGAUGUGGAAUUCCAGGUGUAGCGGUGAAAUGCGUAGAUAUCAGGAGGAACACCGAUGGCGAAGGCAGGUCUCUGGGCAUUAACUGACGCUGAGGAGCGAAAGCAUGGGGAGCGAACAGG
rnacentral:rRNA from 1 species